GAGCGGACAGAAGGGAGCUUGCUCCCGGAUGUUAGCGGCGGACGGGUGAGUAACACGUGGGUAACCUGCCUGUAAGACUGGGAUAACUCCGGGAAACCGGAGCUAAUACCGGAUAGUUCCUUGAACCGCAUGGUUCAAGGAUGAAAGACGGUUUCGGCUGUCACUUACAGAUGGACCCGCGGCGCAUUAGCUAGUUGGUGGGGUAAUGGCUCACCAAGGCGACGAUGCGUAGCCGACCUGAGAGGGUGAUCGGCCACACUGGGACUGAGACACGGCCCAGACUCCUACGGGAGGCAGCAGUAGGGAAUCUUCCGCAAUGGACGAAAGUCUGACGGAGCAACGCCGCGUGAGUGAUGAAGGUUUUCGGAUCGUAAAGCUCUGUUGUUAGGGAAGAACAAGUGCGAGAGUAACUGCUCGCACCUUGACGGUACCUAACCAGAAAGCCACGGCUAACUACGUGCCAGCAGCCGCGGUAAUACGUAGGUGGCAAGCGUUGUCCGGAAUUAUUGGGCGUAAAGGGCUCGCAGGCGGUUUCUUAAGUCUGAUGUGAAAGCCCCCGGCUCAACCGGGGAGGGUCAUUGGAAACUGGGAAACUUGAGUGCAGAAGAGGAGAGUGGAAUUCCACGUGUAGCGGUGAAAUGCGUAGAGAUGUGGAGGAACACCAGUGGCGAAGGCGACUCUCUGGUCUGUAACUGACGCUGAGGAGCGAAAGCGUGGGGA
rnacentral:rRNA from 1 species